rnacentral:rRNA from 1 species
UGAACGCUGGCGGCGUGCCUAAUACAUGCAAGUCGAGCGAACAGACGAGGAGCUUGCUCCUCUGACGUUAGCGGCGGACGGGUGAGUAACACGUGGAUAACCUACCUAUAAGACUGGGAUAACUUCGGGAAACCGGAGCUAAUACCGGAUAAUAUAUUGAACCGCAUGGUUCAAUAGUGAAAGACGGUUUUGCUGUCACUUAUAGAUGGAUCCGCGCCGCAUUAGCUAGUUGGUAAGGUAACGGCUUACCAAGGCAACGAUGCGUAGCCGACCUGAGAGGGUGAUCGGCCACACUGGAACUGAGACACGGUCCAGACUCCUACGGGAGGCAGCAGUAGGGAAUCUUCCGCAAUGGGCGAAAGCCUGACGGAGCAACGCCGCGUGAGUGAUGAAGGUCUUCGGAUCGUAAAACUCUGUUAUUAGGGAAGAACAAAUGUGUAAGUAACUAUGCACGUCUUGACGGUACCUAAUCAGAAAGCCACGGCUAACUAUGUG